GACGAACGCUGGCGGCGUGCUUAACACAUGCAAGUCGAACGGAAAGGCCCGGCUUUUGUGGGGUGCUCGAGUGGCGAACGGGUGAGUAACACGUGAGUAACCUGCCCUUGACUUUGGGAUAACUUCAGGAAACUGGGGCUAAUACCGGAUAGGAGCUCCUGCUGCAUGGUGGGGGUUGGAAAGUUUCGGCGGUGGGGGAUGGACUCGAGGCUUAUCAGCUUGUUGGUGGGGUAGUGGCUUACCAAGGCUUUGACGGGUAGCCGGCCUGCGAGGGUGACCGGCCACAUUGGGACUGAGGUACGGCGCAGACUCCUACGGGAGGCAGCAGUGGGGAAUAUUGCACAAUGAGCGGAAGCCUGAUGCAGCAGCGCCGCGUGCGGGAUGACGGCCUUCGGGUUGUAAACCGCUUUCUCCUGUGACGAAGCGUUAUUGACGGUAAUGGGUAAAGAAGCACCGGCUAACUACGUG
rnacentral:rRNA from 1 species